ensembl:lncRNA
CUCCAUCGUUCAACUGAAAAAAAAGAGAUCGCAGGUCAGUAUAGACACAUCCAUCACACUCAUCCUGCUUGAAAGGAAGACUGUUUUAUAAGGAACCCUUAAUGAGGACACAUGGAGAAAAGGAUCUGUGCUUUUCUGAGGAGCAUUAAUAUGCGUAAUCUGUUAUGGGUGCACUAUAUGACAAGAUGAGGACAUGUAGUGCUUUGAUUAAAGUGACCUUUUCCUACAUCACUUUGAAGAACAGGUCAUCUGGAAUUAACACACGGAUUAGCAUGUGUUAUUUAUCACACAUAGGGACUGAGACUAAAGACACUAAAAGAUUUUCUUCCUAAUAGCUUAAAGCAGAAGCACAUUACCAGACUAGGAAAUGAAUAAACAAAGCAGGUUCACCAUUUUUUAGUUUUUAAUAAAGUUGCACUCAUGUACUUAGGAACAGCCAUCUUUAAUUUUUAAAAUGUAGGUGACAUGAACAUAAAAUGAAUCAUCCAAUGUUUCCAUAAAAAUAUACAAUAAAAAAUAAACAAGUAAUCUUGCAAUUUAAUUGGAGAUCAAUCUUCCAGAGGAUCCACGUGAGCAUCAGAUAAAGAGCUAAGUAAGAGAUGGGGGGUAAGGAAAUGUAAACCUUUAUCAGUGAGAUGAUGUAAGGGGAAGGGCAUAGUGGCUGUUCCAUCGCAAGGAGUUACAAACCCAGGAGCUUGUUAUUACGACCGUAGGUUUAUACUGCUCAACAUACAUCAAGUGCCAACUUAACAAUCGAGUUAAAUAAAUAAAACAAAAGAUUUCUAGAUUGUUGCUGUGUUGUAAAUGUGAUUACCCCGUACUCCCCCCCCCAAAAGUGCACCAGCAAUGAAACGAUAAUAUGCACCAGGUGCAGUUCCACCUGCAAUGAAGCUCUCAUUUACAUGUAAACUGGUGUGUUCAGAAGAAAUACACAGUGUGUAUGGCACAAAAGGUUGCAUUGUCGCCAAGCUAUUAUUGCUUACAACGUGAAUCCUUUUGUGCUCUAAUUAGUCAAAGCAUUACAGUUUCAGGCCACACUUUCAAUUCAAAAAUCACACUAAUCACAAAUGAGAGAAAGUCAGAAUAAACUUGAUGAUGAUCUCUACCCUGUCUCCUGGGGAAUGUAGCCAGGUGUUCAGGUAGAGUGAAGGGGUCACCGUCAGAGAUGUGAAAGUCUCUUAAAGUCACCUAUCUCGUGACUGACCUCUGUUGUGUAGGCUCUGGAAGUGGGCCUCUCUCAGGACACGGUUGAUAGGUUCAUACAAGGCCAGGCUUGUGGCGUCAGAUUGGUCCAAGGAACUAUGUGGACUGGAGGACCUGAGGUUUUCGGCUCCGUACUGACUGCUCGCGCUGCUGCUGGUCCCAGCUGCGUGCUCUGGACUACUGACCCCACUGCUGUCACUGCUGGAGGACUGAGGGUUCAGCAAAACACAGAUCAUUCACAGUGAACGUUACAACAAAGACUCAGUUGAUGCAUGGCACCGAUGGCAGUAUUAGCAUAAAAGUUGAACCCUUGCAACUUGAUCUAUUGAAGCAGAGUGUACAGAUGAGGAACGGAGCGAGCCGGACAGACUUAAGGACUAACACGCUGCUGUAUCACUCUCUUUAGGUAAAAGUGACGAAAGGGCACGACUAGCAGCAGAUAGUCAAAUGGCACUGUGUAGGAAACCCUUCAUCAGACUGAAAAUAGGCUAAUAGGUCAAGGGAAGAAUUUUUAAUGUAAAUAUUUCAACUCGGAAGUUAAUUACUAAAUUAAUCUUGGAUGCCAAGAUCACAUGUUAAGUAUACGGAUUAAUACGCAAGUUGUUCUGGGAGGAUUUUUCCUUUCAACUGUAAUCUUGCCUGGGAUUGGACGUUAAUAUACAGUGCCAUCUGAAACAAUUGGAACAGCAAGGCCAAUUCAUUUGUUUUUGCUCUAGACUGAAUACAUUUGGGUUUAAGAACAAAAGAUGGCUAGGUGACAAGAGUUUAGGAUUUCAGCUUUUAUUUCCUGGUAUUUACAUCUAGAUGUGUUGAACAAAACAUAGAACCUUUUAUAUCAGACCACCCAAUUUUUAGGAGAUCAAAAGUAUAGGAACAGUUAAGUCUUGAGGUAAAUUAAAGUACAUAACACUUGGUUGCAUAUCCCUUGCUUGUAAUAACUGCAUCAAGCCAGUGAUUCACUGACAUCACCAAAUUGUUGGUUUCUUCUUUUCUGAUGCUUUUCCAGGCUUUUAUUGUAGCCUUUUUUCAGUUGUUUGUUUCAGAGGGUUUCAACCUUCAGUCUUCUCUUCAGGAGGUGAUGUACAUGCUCAACUGGGUUAUGAUCUGGUGAUUGACUUGGCCAGUCUAAAACCUUCCACUCCCCACCCCCAAUAAAUUCCUUUGUUGUGUUGGCAGUGUGCUUUGAAUCAUUGUCUUGCUGCAUAAUAAAGCACUGCCUGAUUAUUUCUCUGUAAAUUGGCAGAAAAAAAUGUUCCUGUAAACUUUUAAAAUUGUUCUACUGCUACCACCAUGAGUUACACCAUCAAUAUAGAUUAGUGACCCUGCUCCAGAAGCAGCAAUGCAAGCUCAAGACAUGACACUACCUCCACCAUGUUUCACAGAUGAGCUUGAUCCUCUUUCUCCACACUUUGGCCUUUCCAUCACUUUGGUAGAGGUUAAUCUUGGUUCCAGAACUUUUGUGGCUCAUCUCUGCAUUUCUUUGCAAAUUCCAAUCUGGUUUUCUGAUUCAUACUGCCGAGUUGUUUGCAUCUUGUGGUAUGGCCUGUAUAUUUUUGCUCUCCAAGUCUUUUUCAAACAGAAGAUUGUGGUACCUUCACCCAUUCCCUGUGGAGGUUGUUGGUGGUGUCACUGACAGUUGUUUUUGGGUUUUUCUUCACAUCUCUUACAGUGUUUGUUAUCAGCUGCUGCUGUUUUCCUUGGACGACCCAUUUGGUGUCUGUUGCUUAAUACAUAAAUGUAUUUUGGUAUAUUGAGCAAUACACCCCCCCAGGACAUUCCAAAUUGUUGUACUGGCUAUGCUCAAUAUUUGAGCAAUGCCUCUUAUUUUCAGCUCCAAAAUGGCUUGCUUUUCACUCAUAGUUGGCUCUCUGAUCAUCACAUAGGCUUAUUCGUUUUAACAACAAAUGCAGUCUUCACAGGUGAAACUGAAGGUUAAAACCAAGAGUAAAUGUUCAGAGCUAUUUAUUGUUUAAACUAUCAAGCUAACAAACACCUGUUAGUCACAUGUUUCAACAGUUUUGUGUGGUCCGAUACAAAAUGUGCCAUGUUGUUUGAUUCAUCUACAUAUAAAUAACAGCAGAUAAAAGCUGAAAUUCUGAAUGCUUUUCCCUUAUUCAUCUAUUAAUCUCAAACCCGAAGCUAUUAAGCAUUGGUCAGAUUUUGCUAAAUAAACAGGGAUGUGGUUUAAUUUUCUAGAAACUACAUAUGAUGUAAAAAAGCUGCUGGUUUUUUUUUUUUUUAGUAAUUAAGUAAAUUUUUAUUUAUAUAGCACAUUUAAACACAGCAAAGCUGACCAAAGUGCUGAAUAGAGUAAGAAAAAGUUCAAUAGAAAACAGAAUAAAACCAAAUAGAGACAGACAAAAACAACUUUAAAAAAUUAUUAAAAUGCCUGGGAGAAGAGCCUCUUUUUAAAACUGGUAAUAGAAGGUGCAAGUAUGUUUGAGUGAAACAUACUUGACUGAUGAUAUAAAGAGAACACGGACCAGACCCUUGGCCCUGUGUGUCUUUACCUCAGACUCCCAGGCUUCUCUGCUUCCCUCAGAGCUCUGGAGUGUUGUGCUUAAUCUUUUGGCCUGAGGCAUCAGAAGUGCAUCAUCAUCAUCAUCGCCUCGAGUACGCUGUCGUUUCCUUAAAAAGACUGUUUUCAGAUAACAUGGCGAAUCCCUCUAGGGUUAACGCCUUUCCGCUUUUCUAGGCACUGGAUCUGAUUCUAAAACACCGAAAACCACCACUUGAUUAUUAGCUGCCGUUUCACCGUGUAGUCAAAUAAACAAAUUCAUCGGCAUUAUAUCAAGCACAUAUCAUACUGGCUAAUUGUUAGCUCAGUUAGCUUGCGGCGCUUACAAGUCACCAAGCUAGCAAAAAAAAAAAAUACAACCACACCCAGGUUUACCUCUUGAUUAUUAUUAUUAUUUAAACGUUGAAAUGUAGAAUAUGCACCACAUUUGACGCGUAUGCCGUGUAUCCCGUUAGCUAGCUAAUCAGACCGCGCACAGACUAGCCAGCUGGUUUAACUGUCAUCCUGCUACUGCCUGGCAAGCUCGCACCUUUACACGGAAAGCUAGCUUGCUAGCAGGGUGAAGUUGUAAACAUUAGGCUUAUUAAAGAGGUUCUUGCAGCGGUAACAAUUAUUAUUCCCCACCCCCAGAUAAUCACCUAUCACUUGCGUUCCCAAACAGCUUUACUACAACCCAUUAACAGUUAAUGGUUUAAUUCAAAAAGUCUAGCUAACUAGGUACUUCGAACAACUAGCACUGAACCCCUACUCUUAUUUACACAGCAGUGCGCAUGCGUCAACUUAAAAGCACGAC